GCAGUGGUGGUUCAGUGGUAGAAUUUUUGCCUUCCAUGCAGGAGACAGGGUUCAAUUCCUGGCCAGCA
rnacentral:tRNA from 1 species